rnacentral:rRNA from 1 species
UACGUAGGGUGCAAGCGUUGUCCGGAAUUAUUGGGCGUAAAGAGCUCGUAGGCGGUCUGUCGCGUCGGCUGUGAAAACCCGGAGCUCAACUCCGGGCCUGCAGUCGAUACGGGCAAACUGGAGUGUUGCAGGGGAGACUGGAAUUCCUGGUGUAGCGGUGAAAUGCGCAGAUAUCAGGAGGAACACCAGCGGCGAAGGCGGCUUUCUGGACCAAUACUGACGCUGAGACGCGAAAGCGUGGGGAGCAAACAGG